UGAAGCGAUUCUGGCGGGCUGGGCUCCUUCAGCUCGCCGCCAUGAGGGCAGGGAGUGGCUCUGGCGGGCCGGGCUCCUUCAGCUCGCCGCCAUGAGGGCAAGGAGCUGCUCUGGUGAACCGAGCUCCCUCGCCAUGAGGGGCCACCGCCGCCAUGAGGCCUUCAGCCGAUGAGCGAUGGCGCUGACCCGCAGCUGGGGGUGACCUGGAGCCGCCCGAAGGAGCAGCCCUGAGGUGCCCCGGCCCCAUCGCGUGUGGAACCCCGAGCUGAGCUCUGCUGUGCUGGGCUGGGACAGCCGGGGAGGCGCUCCGGGAGGGCACUGGAGCCUGCGAGAGCAGAUGUGAAGGGAUGACCUGCCCGUGGGACACAGCGAAAGCUCUGGAGCCACGUGGGUGAGGUAAAUUGUUGGUGUGGGGCUUCCUGGAGCAGCAGGAGUGGUCAGAAGUAAAGCUGUGGAUGCGGCUUUGAAAAGCCUGGUUUGAAAGGUGAAGAUUGGAAACCUGGAGCCCACAGUUUAAAUGGGACAGCUGGAGAAUUUGUUUUGAGAAUGUGGAUUUAGGAAUUAAAAAUAUCAAAGGUGUUUUGGGGCAAGGUAUAACAAGAAUUAUGUGUACAAUUUAUUGUUAAUCUCCUCUCAUUGCUUGUUGGAAAUACAUUUUUACAUGACCUCAAUUAAAUGUAUUUAUAUUUAAGCU